ensembl:lncRNA
UGACCUACAACAGCAGGACUAGAAGACUGAUCCUCGUGGAUGGCAAAGGGUGGUUCAGCUUGGAUUUACUUGCUUCUAAGACUGUAGUUAAAAGGGAAAUGGAUUUUCACAAGUACCAAUUCAACAUAGUGAGAAGCAUCACUUAUUGUGAAAAAUUCAAUGUUUACUUUGUACUGAGACGAGACUAUGCACUUAAGGUGUAUAAUAAGGAUUAUGAAGAGAUCUGCUCAGUAGAGAAUGUGGAGACACGUCUGUUGACACUUAUGGUAUUCAAUCCUGUGAGUGAUGAACUCAUUACAGGAGGAAUCAAAGGCGUAAAGUUCUGGAAGUUUAAAGAAACAGAGAAUACAGAUUACACUGAUGCAGUUCACAUGUCCAAUUACAAGCUUUUCCCCAGUUUAUCAUUGUUCACUGAAGGAAUUGUUUGGAUGGGCCUGACUGAGGAUAAGUUGCUGUACUGCUCUUCUGCCCGCAAUCUUCAUGUGUAUGACUUGAACAAUUUUACCAAAUUCUGGACUCGUGUCAGCAGUCAGAUUAAGGCUCUGUCCCUCUGUGGUGCCAAUGGGAAAUCCAGCAGGGUGAUAGCUAUGGGCUCUGAUAACAGUUUACGAAUUUUCUCUCUGCAUAAUGGGACAAAGUUAUGUACCGUGCUGCCGCCUCCCUAUCCCUCUCCACUCCAGUCAGUUCUCGGCUUUGCCUAUAAUCGAACCAGUGGAACAAUUUACUUCCUCCUGACUUCUUGGGAUAUAUGGGUCUACACAGCAAGAACUGAUCCUGCAUGUAGGGCAGCAGUGUGGACUAUUGAAGAAAUACACCAGCACUUAAACAGAAAACACCCCUUAGCCUCUUGUGUAGAGAAGAAUGAAUAUUUUCAGCAUACUCGAAAGGAGAGUGUAAGAGAUCCAGUGAGAUGCAAAUGUCUCUGCAGCCUGUCCUCCCCAAUAUGCUACUGGAUAGAUGAAGGGCUGGUGUAUGCAGAUACCCAGGAAUUUCUGGUUCUUGGUAUGCAGGAUGGAAGAAUCCUGUUUCUGCACACCUCAAUACAAAAUCUAGUAUAUUAUGAGAUGAAGGCCUAUAAAGAUCCUGUAAGUGUACUUUGGAUUUACAGCCUUUCUUUUAUUAAAAGAGUUUCAUAACAAAACAUACAUAGCUGGAUAAGGCUAGAUAUCAAAGUAAGAAACUAUCUCUUCUCUUGUACGAUGACUGUCCUUAGUAUCGAAUGUACAGACCAAUCAGUUGUCUUGCUUCAGAAAUGUAACCUACCACACACACAGCCUUAUAGAAUAAUUCUGGCUAUUCUUGCACAGGUAAUUCACCAGAUUCUGACUCAGAAAUAUUGGUGUAAAUGCAAAGUAGCUCCAUUAACCUCAGUGAAGUAAGUGUGCUGAAUUUGGUCCACUAUUUCCAAAGGCAGAGCAACUUCACUCUCAAAUACAAAGGAGUUCAAGAGCUUUUCACAGUUUGGAAUCUUCUCAAGGGAGCUACGUUACUUACAUACAUUUCAAUAUAUCACUCACAAAUUGAACAAGGAGUCUGGUGGCACCUUAAAGACUAACAGAUUUAUUUGGGCAUAAGCUUUCGUGGGUAAAUUGAGUCAUUAUUACAAACUUCACAAAUUGAGUCAUUAUUACAAAUUGUUGUAGUUUCAGCUAGGAUUUCUAGAUGCGUCAUUGAGUCCUGUACACAAAUUCUAUACUAAUUCUUCCAUCCCUCUGUUUUUCCCUUGUCAAGAAGGGUUUAAGCAGAUACCCAGUCCCCUGCUGGCAUACUUAACUGGUAAUUAUAGCAGAGUAAUGCUGUAGAUGUGUCACCCCAAUCUGGCCAACAGUGCCAGCAUAUGAAAUGACAAACACUGUAUAAGGCACAGAAGAAAGGUUCCUGGCCUUAGGAACUUACAGUGUAAGUAGAUAUGUAUUGAAUAUAUAGUGGGUAGGAGGAAUUAGUGUUUGUAGCCUUUGUGGAAAAAGCAAGUUUUGAGGAGCAAUUUAAAAAAAAGAGAGGGAGGCUGAGCCUUUUGCAUUAGGAUAGGAAGAGAAUUCCAGGAAUAGGGGACUCUGAGGCAGAAAUGAAGAUGAGAGGGAGGAUAGAAAGGAAGUAGUGAGGCAGGGUUCAUUGGCAGAGCAAAGGGAUGAGAUGGGAAGUAGUAACAAAUGCAAAUUAACAUUGCUUUACUUUAUAUGGUAAUAUGGUCCAGACUAGAGCCUGCGCGGGACUAUUUUUUUAAUCCUACUCCCGUCCAGCCCCCCAUUAUCACACUCCCACCCUCUCCCGCAUUGUUUCUUGCACUUUUAUCCCUCUCCCACCUGCAAAAACCUUAGAUCCGCAAAUCCCGCAAGAGAUACCGAUUUCCCAGUGCUACUAAAAAAACAAAUGGUUAGUUGAUAUAUAUAAAUGGAAUUCGGACAUAAUUUAUACCACUAAAAGAAUAAAACAAAACUUGCUUACCCCA